rnacentral:lncRNA from 1 species
AUACUCCUUCCUGCUGCUCUGCAGUCCACUUCCACAGACCAGCCAACUGAAUCUCCUUAUAGAUUCAUAAUGGCCAUCAGCACAAAGAUGUUUUAUCUGCAGUCAACCAGUCAUGUUUCAUGAUGGCAUCAAAAUUAUUCUCUUCUAGCAGUGGAAGGAGGAGACACGAUCAAAUCAUUUAUAGCUUUAGGAUCUUCCAGUUGUGCUUCCCUUUACCUGAUAUCCAUAGAUACGUUUUCUUGAUUCUAAAAAUGUAUAAGCAAGAAGAACCCCACUUCUAAUUGCUACUGAGCAUUGCCCAGAUCUUAGCACCUAAAGUUAUAAGCAAUCCAGAACACAUGUUAUUGGGUGAACUGUGUCCCCCAAAAUUUCAGAUGUGGAAGCCCUAAACCCCAGUACCUAGAAUGUGACUGUAUUUGGAGAUAAAGGUCUUAAAGGAGGUGAUGAAGUUAAAAUGAGGCCAUUAGGGUGAGAAUCAAUACAAUCUGAUUGGUGUCCUUGUAAGAAGAGGAAAUUCGGACAGAGAGAGAGGGAUACAGGAAUGCAGGCGCACAAGAGAAGGACCAUGCGAGGAGACAGCAAGGAGGCAGCCAUCUACAAACCAAGGAGAGAGCCCUCAGAGGAAACCAAACCUUGAAUUUGAACUUCUGCCUCCAGAACUGUGGAAAAAAUACAUUUUUUGUUGUUUAAGCCACCCAGUCUGUGGUAUUUUAUUAUGGGGGCUCUAGCAAACUAAUACAACGUAUUUUUUUUUGAUUCAGUAAAAUCAAAUUAUUGGCUUCUCCUUGCACACAAUUGGCUCAGUCUUGCCAAUAUGUGUACAUAUUAGUUCUUAUUAUGUCCACCAAUCUCUCCUUCAAAAUGUAGCUUAACAUCUACUUUCUCCAGGGACCGUCUCCUACUUAUUCCAUUCCAAUUGAUUACUCUCAUAACAUCUGAGUCUUAAGAAAGUCAUGUGUUUGUAUAUCUGUGUUACUUCAGAAAUACUAUCAUUUGUUGGGGUUGUUGCUGUGCUGUGUGUUACUGGCUAUUGAUCAGGCUUCCUAAAGUCAGGAAAUAUUCUUCUCCCUGAUGGCAUGAUUCUCCUCUUUCUAUUUCAAUGGUUAUGAAAAAAGGCAAAAUUCACUCUUUGCCAGACACUCUUAUAAUACAUUAUAUGCCUUGUCUCAUUUAACAUUAGUCUUUGUGUUAAAGAAAAUAAACUACAUAAAAUG